rnacentral:rRNA from 1 species
GUGCACCAGGCGCGAAACCUCCGCAAUGCGCGAAAGCGCGACGGGGUUACCCCGAGUGCCGUCCGCUGAGGACGGCUUUUGCCCAGUGUAGCCAGCUGGGCGAAUAAGGAGAGGGCAAGUCUGGUGUCAGCCGCCGCAGUAAUACCAGCUCCCCGAGUGGUGGGGACGAUUAUUGGGCCUAAAGCGUCCGUAGCCGGCCCGGCAAGUCUCCCGUUAAAUCCAGCGAUCUAAUCGCUGGACUGCGGGAGAUACUGUCGGGCUAGGGGGCGGGAGAGGCCGGCGGUAUUCCCGGGGUAGGGGUGAAAUCCUAUAAUCCCGGGAGGACCACCAGUGGCGAAGGCUGCCGGCUGGAACGCGCCCGACGGUGAGGGACGAAAGCCGGGGGAGCGAACCGGAUUAGAUACCCGGGUAGU